UCCGUAGGUGAACCUGCGGAGGGAUCAUUACCGA
rnacentral:rRNA from 2 species